GAUGAACGCUGGCGGCGUGCCUAAUACAUGCAAGUCGAGCGAACAGACGAGGAGCUUGCUCCUCUGAUGUUAGCGGCGGACGGGUGAGUAACACGUGGAUAACCUACCUAUAAGACUGGGAUAACUUCGGGAAACCGGAGCUAAUACCGGAUAACAUGUUGAACCGCAUGGUUCAACAGUGAAAGACGGUCUUGCUGUCACUUAUAGAUGGAUCCGCGCCGCAUUAGCUAGUUGGUAAGGUAACGGCUUACCAAGGCAACGAUGCGUAGCCGACCUGAGAGGGUGACCGGCCACACUGGAACUGAGACACGGUCCAGACUCCUACGGGAGGCGGCAGUAGGGAAUCUUCCGCAAUGGGCGAAAGCCUGACGGAGCAACGCCGCGUGAGUGAAGAAGGUCUUCGGAUCGUAAAACUCUGUUAUUAGGGAAGAACAAAUGUGUAAGUAACUAUGCACGUCUUGACGGUACCUAAUCAGAAAGCCACGGCUAACUACGUG
rnacentral:rRNA from 1 species